rnacentral:lncRNA from 1 species
AUAUUUAAUGAAUAAUAUAGAACUUGUUAGUAAGAGGGGAAAACUAUAAGCUAAAGCAAAAGUUUAAGUUCGUAUAUCUCAUCAUUUGUAAGUAUCAAUAUCAGAAUAUGCAACAAACCAAAGCGAAAUGUACAAAGGACAAUGUGAAUGAGCAGCAACAUUUACAAAGGCUAAUGCAAAUCACAAAAGGACGAAAACACAGUUAUAACCAUCGACUUGAAUUUGCUGAGAGUUUUAUUUUGCCUUUUUUCUAGUGUCGAGAGAGGAAAUUAAGGUUUCUAUGAAACUGGUUUUGUAGCACACUCUUCUUUCCCAGAAGAGAUAUUUUGUAUCCAUAUGUAAAAAACAUUGUGGUCCAAGUUUAGGAAUUCAUAUAAUGGGAUUGAAAGGUAAAAGGGAGUGAACAUUAUGGCUUCAUAAAUAAAUAGCGUAGGAUAGAUCCUCAAAACACUUGACACAUAAAACCUACAAGUGAAAAAGAGUAAAGAAAUCGAAGAAAGAUGAAUGUAUAACCAAAACGAGGACGCAAAUUUCAAAUUGGGAUUGGCUCAAUCUGCAAGGUGGAAAAUUCAAAAUAGAAACAAAUAGAAAAAAGAAAUUUUAGUGGCAGUGUCAACCAUGAACCUUAAUAAUUACAUUUAAGCUUAACCAAGCAUGCUUCAAGUUCCAUUCAUCACUAGUGAAAUCAGACAAUUCUUUUAAUUUUCCUUUUUUUUUAUAUGUUCGACAAAAUCAAAGCUAAUAUCAGAAUUUGCUAAAUAUCAUAAUAUAUUAUUCGACGCACAUAAAAAAAAAUGUAGUUCAAAUAAAAUUCAUCUAAUAGAAGGUAAAAUUCACAUUAUUUAAAGAAGAUUACUUAUCUCUAAUAGCAAAAUAAACAGUGCUAAAAACUUACAUAGAUGAAACUGUUUUCCUUCGUUUCAUUCCCAUCAUCCAACACAGUAAUUAUCCAAUUGACAGAAAACUUAGUCACCAAUGCACACAAAUUAUUUUCAUGAUUAGCUAUGCAUCAACUUUUAUACAUACAAAACAAAUAAUUCAAAAAGCUUACAAAAUAUAAAUUUUGUAAUCAUCCAGUUGAGAGAAAAACCCAAUCUCAAAUGCAAUUACAAUAUAUUAUAGUUAAGAAGUCAAUGAAUUUUAUGUAGAUUCUAAUAUUUUAAAAAAAAA